GAUGAACGCUGGCGGCGUGCCUAAUACAUGCAAGUCGAGCGAACGGACGAGAAGCUUGCUUCUCUGAUGUUAGCGGCGGACGGGUGAGUAACACGUGGAUAACCUACCUAUAAGACUGGGAUAACUUCGGGAAACCGGAGCUAAUACCGUAUAAUAUUUUGAGCCGCAUGGUUCAAAAGUGAAAGACGGUCUUGCUGUCACUUAUAGAUGGAUCCGCGCUGCAUUAGCUAGUUGGUAAGGUAACGGCUUACCAAGGCAACGAUGCAUAGCCGACCUGAGAGGGUGAUCGGCCACACUGGAACUGAGACACGGUCCAGACUCCUACGGGAGGCAGCAGUAGGGAAUCUUCCGCAAUGGGCGAAAGCCUGACGGAGCAACGCCGCGUGAGUGAUGAAGGUCUUCGGAUCGUAAAACUCUGUUAUUAGGGAAGAACAUAUGUGUAAGUAACUGUGCACAUCUUGACGGUACCUAAUCAGAAAGCCACGGCUAACUACGUG
rnacentral:rRNA from 1 species